rnacentral:rRNA from 1 species
GUAGGGAAUAUUGGGCAAUGGAUGAAAGUCUGACCCAGCCAUGCCGCGUGCCGGAUGAAGGCGCUCUGCGUUGUAAACGGCUUUUAUUCGGGAAGAAGAGUAGGGAUGCGUCCUUAUGUGACGGUACCGAAUGAAUAAGCACCGGCUAACUCCGUGCCAGCAGCCGCGGUAAUACGGAGGGUGCAAGCGUUAUCCGGAAUCACUGGGUUUAAAGGGUACGUAGGCGGUUAAUUAAGUCAGUAGUGAAAGACUGUCGCUCAACGACGGAUGUGCUAUUGAUACUGGUUAACUUGAAUCAGGUUAGAGUUGGCGGAAUGGGUCAUGUAGCGGUGAAAUGCUUAGAUAUGACUUGGAACACCGAUAGCGAAGGCAGCUGACUGAGCCUUGAUUGACGCUGAGGUACGAAAGUGUGGGUAGCGAACAGGAUUAGAAACCCCGGUAGUCC